rnacentral:rRNA from 1 species
UACGGGGGGUGCGAGCGUUGUCCGGAUUCACUGGGCGUAAAGGGCGCGUAGGCGGCCUGGUCAGUCGGACCUUUAAGAGCGGGGCUCACCCCUGUGGUGGGUUCGGGACGGCCGGGCUGGGGCGCGGCAGAGGGGGACGGAAUGCCGGGUGUAGUGGUGAAAUGCGUAGAGAUCCGGCGGAACACCGGUGGUGAAGACGGUCCCCUGGGCCGAGGCCGACGCUGAGGCGCGAGAGCGCGGGGAGCGAACCGG